GGAUGAACGCUAGCGGCAGGCUUAAUACAUGCAAGUCGAGGGCAGCACGGUAGCAAUACCUGGUGGCGACCGGCAAACGGGUGCGGAACACGUACGCAACCUUCCCAUAACUGGUGAAUAGCCUUUCGAAAGAGAGAUUAAUACACCGUAACAUAAUGAAGAGGCAUCUCUUUAUUAUUAUAGGCAGCAAUGUCGGUUUUGG
rnacentral:rRNA from 1 species